UACGGAGGAUCCUAGUGUUAUCCGGAUUUAUUGGGUUUAAAGGGAGCGUAGGCGGGAGGUCAAGUCAGCUGUGAAAUGUAUCUGCUUAACGGGUACACUGCAGUUGAAACUGGUUUUCUUGAGUGCGUAAGAGGCAGGCGGAAUUCGUUGUGUAGCGGUGAAAUGCUUAGAUAUGACGAGGAACUCCUAUUGCGAAGGCAGCUUGCUGGGUCGUUACUGACGCUGAUGCUCGAAGGUGCGGGGAUCAAACAGGAUUAGAUACCCUGGUAGUCCGCACAGUAAACUAUGGAUACUCUCUGCCGGCGAUAUAUUGUCGGUGGCCAAGCGAAAGCGUUAAGUAUCCCACCUGGGGAGUACGUUCGCAAGAAUGAA
rnacentral:rRNA from 1 species